AACGAACGCUGGCGGCAUGCCUAACACAUGCAAGUCGAACGAGACCUUCGGGUCUAGUGGCGCACGGGUGCGUAACGCGUGGGAAUCUGCCCUUGGGUUCGGAAUAACAGUUAGAAAUGACUGCUAAUACCGGAUGAUGUCUUCGGACCAAAGAUUUAUCGCCCAAGGAUGAGCCCGCGUCGGAUUAGCUAGUUGGUGAGGUAAAGGCUCACCAAGGCGACGAUCCGUAGCUGGUCUGAGAGGAUGAUCAGCCACACUGGGACUGAGACACGGCCCAGACUCCUACGGGAGGCAGCAGUGGGGAAUAUUGGACAAUGGGCGAAAGCCUGAUCCAGCAAUGCCGCGUGAGUGAUGAAGGCCUUAGGGUUGUAAAGCUCUUUUACCCGGGAUGAUAAUGACAGUACCGGGAGAAUAAGCCCCGGCUAACUCCGUGCCAGCCGCCGCCGUAA
rnacentral:rRNA from 1 species